rnacentral:rRNA from 1 species
GAUGAACGCUGGCGGCGUGCUUAACACAUGCAAGUCGAACGGAAAGGCCGAAGCUUGCUUCGGUACUCGAGUGGCGAACGGGUGAGUAACACGUGGGUGAUCUGCCCUGUACUUCGGGAUAAGCUUGGGAAACUGGGUCUAAUACCGGAUAUGACGAUCUCUUGGAUGGGGUUGUGGAAAGCUUUUGCGGUAUGGGAUGAGCUCGCGGCCUAUCAGCUUGUUGGUGGGGUAAUGGCCUACCAAGGCGUCGACGGGUAGCCGGCCUGAGAGGGUGUACGGCCACAUUGGGACUGAGAUACGGCCCAGACUCCGACGGGAGGCAGCAGUGGGGAAUAUUGCACAAUGGGCGCAGGCCUGAUGCAGCGACGCCGCGUGGGGGAUGACGGCCUUCGGGUUGUAAACUCCUUUCGCAAUCGACGAAGCCUUUUGGUGACGGUAGGUUGAGAAGAAGCACCGGCUAACUACGUG